GGGGGAAUCUUGCGCAAUGGGCGAAAGCCUGACGCAGCAACGCCGCGUGGAGGACGAAGGCUUUCUGAGUUGUAAACUCCUUUCAGCAGGGACGAUUGUGACGGUACCUGCAGAAGAAGCACCGGCCAACUACGUGCCAGCAGCCGCGGUGAUACGUAGGGUGCAAGCGUUGUCCGGAUUUAUUGGGCGUAAAGAGCUCGUAGGCGGUUUGAUUAGUCGGGUGUGAAACCUCCAGGCUUAACCUGGAGCCGCCACUCGAUACUGUCAUGACUAGAAUUCGGUAGGGGACCACGGAAUUCCUGGUGUAGCGGUGAAAUGCGCAGAUAUCAGGAGGAACACCAGCAGCGAAGGCGGUGGUCUGGGCCGACAUUGACGCUGAGGAGCGAAAGCGUGGGGAGCGAACAGGAUUAGAUACCCUGGUAGUCCACGCCGUAAACGUUGGGCACUAGGUGUGGGGACUAUUCAACGGUUUCCGUGCCGCAGCUAACGCAUUAAGUGCCCCGCCUGGGGAGUACGGCCGCAAGGC
rnacentral:rRNA from 1 species